UGGUCAUUACCAAGGCUGCUGGGAUGUUGCUGUUUCUGGUGAGCUGUGGACAUGACCAUAAAGCAAGUCCAGCAGACUCUUCCAUUGCCACAUGAUGUGGCACAAAGUCUGCUGGGAAUAAAG
rnacentral:snoRNA from 1 species